rnacentral:rRNA from 1 species
UACGUAGGUGGCAAGCGUUGUCCGGAAUUAUUGGGCGUAAAGCGCGCGCAGGCGGUCCUUUAAGUCUGAUGUGAAAGCCCACGGCUCAACCGUGGAAGGUCAUUGGAAACUGGAGGGCUUGAGUACAGAAGAGGAAAGCGGAAUUCCACGUGUAGCGGUGAAAUGCGUAGAGAUGUGGAGGAACACCAGUGGCGAAGGCGGCUUUCUGGUCUGUAACUGACGCUGAGGCGCGAAAGCGUGGGGAGCAAACAGG